rnacentral:tRNA from 1 species
GCCGGGGUGGCGGAACGGUAGACGCGGGGGACUUAAAAUCCUCUUGGCCGGAAGGUCAGUGUGGGUUCGAAUCCCACCCCCGGCA